GGUAACGCGAGAUAUUAGUGCGGUUCAAUCAAAUAGCCGAGCUCUUAGUUUAUAGAGAUCGGUUCUGUUCGAUUGAGCCGUGCCAAUAUCACGCAUUAAGCC
rfam:Eutrema salsugineum unplaced genomic scaffold scaffold_5, whole genome shotgun sequence.